rnacentral:rRNA from 1 species
GACGAACGCUGGCGGCGUGCUUAACACAUGCAAGUCGAACGGAAAGGCCCUGCUUUUGUGGGGUGCUCGAGUGGCGAACGGGUGAGUAACACGUGAGUAACCUGCCCUUGACUUUGGGAUAACUUCAGGAAACUGGGGCUAAUACCGGAUAGGAGCUCCUGCUGCAUGGUGGGGGUUGGAAAGUUUCGGCGGUUGGGGAUGGACUCGCGGCUUAUCAGCUUGUUGGUGGGGUAGUGGCGUACCAAGGCUUUGACGGGUAGCCGGCCUGAGAGGGUGACCGGCCACAUUGGGACUGAGAUACGGCGCAGACUCCUACGGGAGGCAGCAGGGGGGAAUAUUGCACAAUGGGCGGAAGCCUGAUGCAGCAACGCCGCGUGCGGGAUGACGGCCUUCGGGUUGUAAACCGCUUUCGCCUGUGACGAAGCGUGAGUGACGGUAAUGGGUAAAGAAGCACCGGCUAACUACGUG